rnacentral:rRNA from 1 species
UACAGAGGGUGCAAGCGUUAAUCGGAAUUACUGGGCGUAAAGCGUGCGUAGACGGUUGCGUAAGUCAGAUGUGUAAGCCCCGGGCUCAACCUGGGAAUGGCAUUUGGGACUGCAAGGCUGGAGUUUGGCAGAGGAGACUGGAAUUCCUGGUGUAGCAGUGAAAUGCGUAGAUAUCAGGAGGAAUACCGAUGGCGAAGGCAGGUCUCUGGGCUAUAACUGACGCUCAUGCACGAAAGCGUGGGGAGCAAACAGG